UUAAAGAAACUAGAAACAAGAUACUCAUAUUGGUCGCUAUUUCUAUUUGAGUCCAAGAUGAAGGAUUUGUCGGAGGAAAGCUGAGAAAACAAAAAUGAUUUUGAGCAUGAUAUUUUCUAACUAUCAUUUUAUAUUAAAUUGCAGCCUUCUCCUGUUUGAGUGUUUCAACAUUAUGGCUACUUCAGAUUAGUACUUAGAACCUGCUUUCCAGGAUUCCCUUUGCAUGAACAUAUUUCUAUACUAGUCAAAACAAUACUUUUGUGCUCAUAAGAUUAAUUUACAGCACAGUGUUACUAAAAUGUAGUUCCCUCUAUAUAGCGCCUAUUUGGUAUAGCUAAAAGUAAGAUUAUUAAUAGAUUUUUUAUAAAAGUUGAUGAAAUGUGUCGUUGAAAAGUUGAUUAAAGUUGUGCGUCCCAUGAAAUGAUGAAAUGUCUUGUUGAAAAUGAAUUUGAGAAAAAUGAGUUUUAGAAAAUGGGGGUCAGACGGGACUUAAUGUUGUGGCAAUUUCAUCACACCAAUAAAUAAUCUGCCUCGGCUUUGCCUUUCCCAUGGGCCUACUGCCAUCACCCUCCUCUCCAUCAACUACUACUGUCAAUACCACUAAAUACUUUUCUUCCACCAGCCUACUGCUAUGGUGUGUAAUGUUUUCCUUGUCAUUGCUGCAUCCAUUUCUGUCGGCAUGGAGUCUUUCUCAACCACCCUCACUUCCAUUCCUCAGAAUCAGAAGAGGAAACAUCCCCUGGUUGCAUAUCAUGAUCUCAUUAUAUUGAUAUCAUUGCAAAAAUUUCUACACAUUUACAACUGCAGAGGCCUUGGAUAACCAGAUCUGCCCCUUUUAGGAUUAGUUAUUGGGGAUAGCUUGAUAAGGUUUGAGGUUGGGGAGAAUGGAAGGUGCAACUAUUAUAAGAGUGAAAGGUUGUGGUGUUUGGGGGAAUUGCUGUGGUGAUGCAGGGAUAUGCUUGUAUUUGUUGCAGAUUUAUAGUAAAUGGAAAGCUACGAGUGUGUCGGUUAAUAAUUUGUCUUUUUUUUUUUCUCGUUUAAGUUGGCACAAUCUUGAGUAGUGCCAGAAUUGGACAAUGAAUCAAGUUGAAUGCCUCCCCAGCAAAACCAAUUCAAGUCUGACUCUGCCAUCUUUGUGAAAUGGAGGGAGAGACUGCAAAAAUGGAAAAAUUGCUCUAAAGAUGAAGUAGACGAGGGACACUGGUCUAUGGUAUCUUGACAUUCUCUGACUUGUGUUGUAGGUGAAACCAAGGUGUUGAAAGUGAAACUAGCCAUUAUUGGUGCUCACCUUUUUCAGUAUAAAACUGCCUUCAAGGUUAACGGGCAUCUCAGCUGAGAAGUAGUGGCAGCUGUGUAUUGUUGAGCUUGAACUUGAUUGAAUUUCUUCCGAGGUAGGAUCCAUAAGUUUAUACACCCAUUUGUUCGUGUUGGAUGAUGAAAAUGCCUUUUGAAUUGACGGUGUUCACGACGUACAAGUUUGUUCGGUGUACAAGUGUGUAGGGAUUUGCUCGUCAAAGUGCCUUGUGUAAACCAGUGCUUCGAACUUUUACUUGUAUUCAGUGAAUGGACGCUUGUUUGUAAGUGAUGGGAAAAUUGUGUAUAAAUAACUGGAAAUUUUUUCUAUCAACACUCCGGGAAUUGUGAGUGGAAACAAUAUUAUGUAAAUGAAUGUUUAGAAUUCUACUUGACCAAUUGGCUAGAUUUACAAUCGUGGGAAGUGAGUUUUGGAUUCUGUUCUUUGAAGGAGAUUGAAUGUUGAUUAGGAAAUAACUUAUUGAGUUUA